GCGCCCUUAGCUCAGUGGAUAGAGCGUUGGCCUCCGGAGCCAAAGGCCGCAGGUUCGAAUCCUGCAGGGCGCACCA
rnacentral:tRNA from 1 species